rnacentral:rRNA from 1 species
UACAGAGGGGGCAAGCGUUGUUCGGAAUUACUGGGCGUAAAGGGCGCGUAGGCGGCCUGCUAAGUCGAACGUGAAAUCCCUGGGCUCAACCCAGGAACUGCGUCCGAUACUGGUUGGCUUGAAUCCGGGAGAGGGAUGUGGAAUUCCAGGUGUAGCGGUGAAAUGCGUAGAUAUCGGAAGGAACAUCAGUGGCGAAAGCGACUUCCUGGACCAAUACUGACGCUCAUGUGCGAAAGCGUGGGGAGCAAACAGGG